rnacentral:rRNA from 1 species
UACGUAGGGGGCAAGCGUUGUCCGGAAUCAUUGGGCGUAAAGCGCGCGUAGGCGGCCCGGUAAGUCCGCUGUAAAAGUCCAGGGCUCAACCCUGGAAAGCCGGUGGAUACUGCAUGGCUAGAGUACGGAAGAGGCGAGUGGAAUUCCUGGUGUAGCGGUGGAAUGCGCAGAUAUCAGGAGGAACACCAAUAGCGAAGGCAGCUCGCUGGGACGUUACUGACACUGAGGCGCGAAAGCGUGGGGAGCGAACAGG